rnacentral:rRNA from 1 species
GGGGAAUAUUGCACAAUGGGCGCAAGCCUGAUGCAGCGACGCCGCGUGAGGGAUGAAGGCCUUCGGGUUGUAAACCUCUUUCAGCAGGGAAGAAGCGCAAGUGACGGUACCUGCAGAAGAAGCGCCGGCUAACUACGUGCCAGCAGCCGCGGUAAUACGUAGGGCGCAAGCGUUGUCCGGAAUUAUUGGGCGUAAAGAGCUCGUAGGCGGUUUGUCGCGUCUGCUGUGAAAACUCGAGGCUCAACCUCGGGCUUGCAGUGGGUACGGGCAGACUAGAGUGCGGUAGGGGAGACUGGAAUUCCUGGUGUAGCGGUGGAAUGCGCAGAUAUCAGGAGGAACACCGAUGGCGAAGGCAGGUCUCUGGGCCGCAACUGACGCUGAGGAGCGAAAGCAUGGGGAGCGAACA